UGGCUCAGGAUGAACGCUGGCGGCGUGCCUAACACAUGCAAGUCGAACGGACUAUUUCGGUAGUGAGUGGCGCACGGGUGCGUAACACGUGGCUGACCUGCCUCCAGGAGGGGAAUAACCGCCCGAAAGGGUGGCUAAUACCCCAUAAGCUCACGCCCUUUAGAGGGACGCGAGAAAAGGCGUAUGCGCCUGGAGAGGGGGCUGCGGCUCAUCAGGUAGAUGGUGGGGUAACGGCUCACCAUGCCGACGACGAGUAGGGGGUCUGAGAGGAUGAUCCCCCACACUGGGACUGAGACACGGCCCAGACUCCUACGGGAGGCAGCAGUGAGGAAUAUUGCACAAUGGGGGCAACCCUGAUGCAGCGACGCCGCGUGGGGUGAUGAAGGGGCUUCGGGCUCGUAAAACCCUUUUCUGUGUGACGAGCAAGGGACGGGUAGCACAGGGAAAUAAGCCUCGGGCUAAACUACGUGCCAGCAGCCGCUGUAAC
rnacentral:rRNA from 1 species